AUACGGAGGAUGCGAGCGUUAUCCGGAUUUAUUGGGUUUAAAGGGAGCGUAGGCGGGAGCUUAAGUCAGCGGUUAAAUGGUGCGGCUCAACCGUGCCCUGCCGUUGAAACUGGGUUUCUUGCGAGUGCAAGAGGCGGAUGGAAUUCAUGGGGUAGCGGUGAAAUGCUUAGAUAUCAUGAAGAACUUCGAUUGCGAAGGCAGUCCGCUGGGGCACGUCUGACGCUGAUGCUCGAAGGUGCGGGAAUCAAACAGGAUUAGAUACCCUGGUAGUCCGCACGGUAAACGAUGAUUACCCGCUGUCGGCGGCAGACAGUCGGCGGCCAAGCGAAAGCGAUAAGUAAUCCACCUGGGGAGUACGCCGGCAACGGUGAAACUCAAAGGAAUUGACGGGG
rnacentral:rRNA from 1 species